GCUUUGAUCCUUCUCCAAAUUAAGAAUAUAUCCUUAGUUCUUCUCAAGAGCUUAAGAUCAUUUUUACAGCAAUCCAGUGCUCACAGUCUAAAUUUAACUGAUAUCUACUCGUGACAUUCACGAUAUUAUUUAUAUCUGUUUGUUGGGUAUAAAAAUGUCCACAGCCGAAGUCCUCAGCGGAAUCGACUGCAUGACCACUCCGCCUGG
rnacentral:lncRNA from 1 species